CCAGUUGUAGUAGUCCUUAGUGCAAAGAAUGAAUACAUACAAUUGCAGCAAGACAUCUGUGCUGAUUAUUACUGUAGAGCUGCUGCCCUAUGAGAGGGAAAUACUUGUGGUUAUAAGUGUAACCCUUGUUUCCUUCUCUCAUUUACAGAUAUACAAAAGUCUGGCAGUGCUGUCGGGAUAGUCACUGGACAUUUAAAAAUUUUUUUUGGAAACUAGAAGGUUCUUAGCUUUAAAAGGUUGAGAAACAAUGCUGAAGACACUGUGAUUCUAAUCUUUGACCUUCUACUACCUACUGAUGGGCUGUGAGUCAUCUCUGAAGACUUGUAUUUAUGGCUCCAUAAAGAACAUAUCUGGAAUCCCAACCAUGAUCAGGGAAAAAGUUUCAGAAACCCCCAGGAACCAACAUGGGAGAAAGCAGUGCCAGAAAGAAACUGCAUGGUAAAC